CGUAAAUGCCCUAACUUGGCCAACCUGAUGAGAGGAACCCAAUAUUUGGCUUUUUAGCGUUUCACCUCUUUUUCCCUCAUCAGUCCCUCACUCCCUCUCUCUCUCCUCUCCUCUCCUCACCGUCAUUCACCUCUUUCUCUCAUUUCAAACUCAGGCCCUCUCAUUUCGAGGAGCAAUGAGAAGAGCUCUGUUUCGUUGGUUGUUAUUUUGGUGGUUAACUUGAGCAGCGAUUGCGUUCAUCUUGAGACGAGAAACUUGACCGGCGGCUUCAUACAAGUUUUCCCAAGCGGCGUUGUUUUUGGGGAGAGGUGUAACCGGCGGUGACGGAACUCUUGGUGAAGGUCCGUUCGGGCUACUAUUGCUCGAAAAACCCACUCCGGUUCGACCAUUACAUUCCCACCUCUCAUCUUCCUCUUUUCGAAAUGAUUUUCUCUAAAGACCUUGCUCCUCCUUUAAUGGUGGACAGAGAAUUCCGAUGAUGGGAUGGAUUUCCCUUACUUAGACCCGCCAUUGACAUGUUGCUUUGAAGUAGUUCAAAAGGAAUUUCUACCAAGUGUGAGAGAUUCAGAGCAUCAAAUGGACCCUGAUAUAUACUAAGGGUGGAAAAUGAUGCAAUGGAAUCCGCCUGAAUUCGGGCGGGCUCCCGGUGGACCGGUGUCCAAUGUGGCGAUUUCGCACAUUCGAUUGGGCGGCAGGGCACCGGUUAUCAGUAAGAAAUUGAAGGUUUGAAGUCCAGAAAUGAAUAAUUUUUUUGGAGGGGCAGAAAUGAAUCAUUUGUGUUCACUGAUACAUAAAUUUAUAUGUUCCGGGAUGAGAUAGGAAAAGAAAUGGCCAGGAAGUUGCAAACAGAAGUUUUAGAUGUCACAAUCUCUGUGAACGAGUAUGAGGCUGCAAAUGUUCAUAAAUGUCAGCCUGCUGUUGGAGCUGACAGUGAUCCAGGUGAACAAAUCUUCAGAGAAGAAAGGGAUGACAAUGCUCUUGAUUGCUGCUUUUACUACUGGCCUGCUGUUGUUUGUGCUUAUAUUGUAUUUCCUUACUAAAUUUUGCAAUCAAUAGCGUUUUGGACUACUAAUAGGAGAGUUAUAAUUAGCAUACAAAAUUGGAUUUGGUGUAUAUGUUAUGUUUGAUAAUAUGUUUGUGGCAUGAAAUAUUUGGGUUUGUUAUAAAUUAUUAUAAUAA